UGCCAGCAGCCGCGGUAAUACGGAGGGGGCGAGCGUUGUUCGGAUUUACUGGGCGUAAAGGGUCCGUAGGUGGUUUGGUUAGUCAGAUGUGAAAGCCCCGCGCUCAACGUGGGAACUGCAUCUGAAACUGCCAGACUAGAGUUAUAGAGAGGAUAGUGGAAUUUCAAGUGUAGAGGUGAAAUUCGUAGAUAUUUGAAGGAACACCGAAGGCGAAGGCAGCUAUCUGGCUAUAUACUGACACUGAGGGACGAAAGCGUGGGGAGCAAACAGGAUUAGAUA
rnacentral:rRNA from 1 species